rnacentral:ncRNA from 20 species
CUUUGUUUCGCUUUUCAGGGUAACUCACAAGUUUCAAAAGGGAAUGCCGCGCGAUUCGGCAACAGUACCCGCUGCUGUGAUUCUUGACGAACCCCGGACGAUGUCCAGACAACCACUGCCGGCACGGCGCCGGUGGGAAGGUACGACCGAGGGGAGAGAUCAGUCAGAAGACCUGCCGAGAAAAGCAGAAGCAUU